GAGCCUUAAGCGUGGUGGCAGAAGAAAUGCUUUAGGGAUGCCUGAAGGCCUGGCUCUGUGCAGAGUAGAACAACUGUGGGCUCCUGAGUCAGCUGAGGAGCAGGCCAGCAUAGCUAUCUGACUUGACUGCAGCUUUUAUAAACAAUAGGCAGCGUCGCAGUGCAAGCAAGCUGGUUAGUGAGCAAAGAGAUAUGGUGCCUGAUGUCAUGACCUUCAAGCUGUGGGAUAGUUGAGAUGUUAUGUGCAUAGUCUGGCUAGAGAGGUAUUCAUCACGUGUUGCCUUUCCCAAGUGUCUUGAGUGUCAUUUUCAAAUGAGGAGCAUUGAUCUACACUUGUGUUUUGCAUUGAGUACAGUGGUCUGCCCUGCUGGUUGUAAGUGAGGGUGUUGCCGAAGAAAGCUCUCCAUCUGUGGCUUUAGGUCGGGAGAACCAACCUUUUCCUGGGAGACCUUCUUCUCUCCUUGUCAUUGGGUGAGGCCAUUGUCAAAUCUUCCUGAAGAUUUGGGCCAGAAGAGUUGUGCCGAAUAGGGGGAAACCAUUGUGUGGGGCUGCCUAAUACAUAGGCUUUUAGAGAGUAAAAGAAUGCCUUGUGAGGACUCUAGAAUUUGAGAAGAGAUUUGAUCUCUCUGCUGAGUCCUAUGAUGGUCUCCAAGAUAUAGCUGAGCUUCAGGGGCCAGGGCCACCUCUACAAGAUGAUUCUGGACAAUAAUAAAAACAGUGAAGUCCUGCCAUGUGCCAACUUGCUAGGUACACUUUACCUAACCUAUCUCAUUUAAUCUUCACAAAUCUUGCAGAGUGGGCAUUCAUGCUCCCAUUUUACAGAUGCAGAAACUGAGAGUCAGUAACUUGCUCAAGACUACACACUGGUCGGUGGCUGGAACUCAAACACAGGUUACCAACAUCAAUAGCUCUACUAGAGUCUAAGCUUUACUAUAAGACGCCUUCCCAGGACAAUUUCAAGAGAGUCCUCUGCUUCCUAAGCCAUCCAGCAGAGGGUCUGGGCGAGCUUCAUCUUGGUUUUGCUAGCAGCCUCUACCCAGCACCGCAGCGAUCACUCAGCGCCUCCGCCGGACGACCUCACCAGGUGUCAUUGCUGGAUGUCUCACACCCAGGAUCCCAUGCAUCACAGUCCAGCUACACAGCUCAGAAGGUAAAUUACCCACCUUCUGAACGUCGGCUCCUUCGAUGGCUCUUCCUCCCCAUUCAUUCUCUGCAAGGUUGGUCCCUCCAUGUUCCAGCACUAAAUUAAAAGCUCCAGGUCCCAGGUUUUUGCAACAAAAUUCAAGUUUUGCUCUGCAGAGCAUACCUCUCCUCUUCCUCUCUAAUCUCAGACUAAAAGAACAUAAAAUGUAAGGAGCAGGCAGAGUUAAGAAUCCCCUGGUUCACCCAAAAAAUUGAAAGAAAGGGAUUAUGUACCCAUGUCAGUUUACAAUUGUCCAGAAUUCCCAAGAUUCUGCUGGUUGGACCAUGUACCCCUUCCCUCCCCACGCACGGAUGGAAAGGUGGGUUUCCAGCAGAUGUGAGUGUUUAUAAUUGGCUGCAGUAGCUGUGAUCCUGUAUCUUGGUAGAUAGUUUCAGAGAGUUGACUUCUAAAAUGUAGAUAUUUUUGUUGAUUUAUAUUGUUACAUUUUUUUCCUUAAUCUACUAAUUGUAAUUGUUUUCCCAUGGUUAAUCCACAAGCUAGUUAAUGUUGAAUAAGAACCAAAAGUUGACUACACUCUAGAGGCCAGGAAAGGUAGUACUCACCUGAGGAAGAGGAAGAAGUGAUGAUCUCUGAAAGGUGAAGCUGCCAAGAUGUGUGGAACAUCUACUCAGCUCCUCACAGAGGGAAACGGCACCUGUGCAUUUACUGCAGAGUCAUAAUAUAAGAGCAUAUGCCUGAGGGUCUGUGAGUAACUUCUGAAUAAGCGUGUGUAGUGUUGGUGUUAAUACGUAUUUUAAUUGUACUGAUUCAUGGAAACAAGAUGUUAUUCUGUUAUACUUUAUUUCAGAAUUAUUACAAGGUCAAGAGCAGAGUGUUCAUAAAAAUGUAAGCAACACAGUACCCUCAUGAACAGAACUCGUCCCAGCACCUGGUGGCAGCUCUUUGCAUUUCAUGCUGAUGGGCAAAUUGGGGGGGGGUGGUGGUGGUAUGUUACUUUGCUCAGGCUGGCAUAACAAAAUACCACAGACUGGGUGUCUUACACCCAAGAAAUUUAUUUUCCCACAGUUCUGGAGGCUAGAAGUCUAAGAUCAACGUUUGGUUUCUU
rnacentral:lncRNA from 1 species